UUCACCACAAGUUCAAAUUUACAUUGAUUUUCUGUAUUUUAUAAUUAAAAAUAUCGCUUAUAACUUCUACUAGUUUAUUGUUUCGUAAUAAAUGUAAAAAAUAGUUCUAAAAUAUUUAAUGAUACAUAUACAUACGUAUAUAUCUCUUAAAAUAGCCGACCAGUCAAUGAAGGUAACUUAUGGUGCGAUCAUUUCACGAUCAAGUGUACAAAAUUCUCCUAUAGCUUGGCACUAUACCUUAGCGCGGCUUCAGCAAUAGAUCGCCCUUCUUUAGAGAUUGCAAGUAUACCAGAACCUAUGGAUUGAUCAUCAGACUUUGGAACCCAAUUCCGAGUUCUUCCUUCGUAACGGGACUGUUGAAAAGAACAUAGAUCGGCCAAUUCCAGUGCGCCCUCGCGGCGGAUUCAAUAGAGCAGGCAUCCUUUGGAUGAAAAAUGCGAACGUUGCACGAGGGAUCACUGAAGAAUAUCGAUCGAC